rnacentral:rRNA from 1 species
CAGAACAAGGAAAAGAGAGAAGGUAACAAACAAGGUGACAAUUCUGCCAACGUUGCUCGUGAUGAUAGUUCCGAUGAUGCUCUUGUCGUUAUUGCUGGAUGUGCUGAGACUAAUGAUGAGUGGGUACUUGACACUGCAUGCACUUUUCAUAUGUGCCCGCAUAGAGAUUGGUUUACUACUUUUGAUUCCACUUCUGCUGCUGGUUCCGUUUUGGAUUUUGAUAAUUCACCAUGCAAGAUUGAAGGCAUAGGUACUAUUCGAAUCAAGAUGUUUGAUGGCAUAAUCAGAACUUUGACAGAUGUUCGGUAUAUUCCGAAGAUGAAGAGAAAUCUUAUUUCUAUGAGU